UUUUAACAUUUGACACGUGUUCAUUGAUAUAACCAUGGUUCCAUAAAUACAAAGUAAUGGAUUAACUAUGGUUAUGUCAAUGAACACGUGUUAAGUGUUGAAA
rnacentral:miRNA from 1 species